rnacentral:rRNA from 1 species
UACGAAGGGGGCUAGCGUUGCUCGGAAUCACUGGGCGUAAAGCGCACGUAGGCGGCUUUCUAAGUCAGGGGUGAAAUCCUGGAGCUCAACUCCAGAACUGCCUUUGAUACUGGGAAGCUUGAGUCCGGAAGAGGUGAGUGGAACUCCGAGUGUAGAGGUGAAAUUCGUAGAUAUUCGGAAGAACACCAGUGGCGAAGGCGGCUCACUGGUCCGGUACUGACGCUGAGGUGCGAAAGCGUGGGGAGCGAACAGG